CAAAUUCUUAUUGGUAUAGAAAACAUAAGGCAUUUUGAGAAGUGGCAAGGUGGCAUUCCAUCAGCUAGUAUGUCUGGAUAAGAACACUUCUGGAGAAUAUAUGUAGCUCAGGGCUGAAUUAUUAGGAUCAUCAGUGCAUGGAAGAGUAAAGUUUGAUGGCUUCAGUCCCCCACAUGCUGAUGACAUUAGUCUUGUAAUGAAACGUCUGUGAGAAGAAAAGCAAGCUCAGGGAAUACCAAGAAACCAAGGAAGACUUCUGGAAUGGUCUAUUGUUCUUGACAGCCAUUGGGUCAACAUUGUUUUGAAGCUAGCAACCGUGACCUGAAGAUCUUUUUCUCUGUCUCUACAAGUAUAUACAGUUGCAAAGGUGCCUUUGGUGAGGGACUUUGUCAAAAGGUUUUGAAAGUUCAAAUAAAGAGCCUCUGUCAGAUAAUUUGUUGACACACAAAGAAUUCUAAAAGGAACUCUGGAGAGGGCUACUGCACUGGUAAUAACUAUUUCAUUUCAUCAGACAUCCUUAAACAGUAUGAAGAGGUUGAGAUCAAUUUUCACAGUUCCGUACAGCAAAUGGUGAUGGCAAAAGACAGAGAUUAGAGUGGUGGAAUUGCAUUGAUUGUUCUGCAUUGUGUGAUAAUCAUACAGCCAUUAGCCUGAAUUUGAAUUUGAAAAGGAACCGGUGAGGAGGUGACUUCAGCCUCACCUGCGCUGGAAGAACAAGGCAGAGCAUCCAAGUGGGGCCUUUGCAGUGAAGUUUAUGCAGUUGCAGAGCACAACCCUUUCUCUGGCCCCUUGCUAUGCGACUCCCGUUAUUUCGCCUGCAAGGAAAGAAGCAGAAGGCCAACAAGAAGACAGUUUAUAAUGUGCCCCAGACUUUCUUGAAUGGGAUAGGCAUGUGUGUUUUUGUAUGGAUGCGUAUCCAUCUCAGAAAUGAAUUUUCUUUCCUUAUUCCUCCGGCUGCCUCUAUCCCCUCCCCCUGUCUGAUCAUUAUGUCCAAGCACUGCGUGGGCUUCAUUAUAUCUUACUCAAUGCAAACUCCAACGUUUUGGCAGAGGAUUCAAAAUGAAUCUGGGAGAGAAAAUAUCAAGAUUCAGCAUGAAAUGUAAACUUUCAUUGAAUUCCUGCUGGUUGCUGCCUUGAACAAGUAAUUCGUUUCUACCUGAAUAUCAGGUGAAAGGCGAUUUUCUUGAGCAGAAGAUUUCUGGUGACUCUGUGUGUGAAUAGUUUUUCCUUGAGCAGAACAGGGAACAGGCCUCAGCAGCUUGAUGGCUGCUUAGAUUCAGAAAGGCCUGAGACAGGUUCUUGCAGAGUACUGAAGGAUGAUUUGAACAAAUCAAUCAAUCAAUCAAUCAAUCAAUACAAUUUUGUGCUGCCGUGGCGUCUGCUUUUUCUUAAAAGUGUUUAGGGUAGUGCUAGACUGUGGAACAACAAUGUACCAAAUCAAAUGCAUUCAUGUCCUAUGUUGUAGUCUACGAAACAUUUGACAGAUCCCCUGUUACUGCAGUCCUAUGCAAUGAUCCACAUGGUGGAAGCUGGGUCAUAGCUUCCAUGGCAGUCUUAGAUUUGUCCCAGGUAAUUUGGAUCUGACAUGCAAACAUUUCUGUCUCAGGUAAUUUCAAAGCUGGCCAGUUAUUGGACCUUGCACUGGAGAAGUUGUUAUGCAACCUGGGUAUGGAGGGCAUUAUUAUCACCCCUUUAUUGUGGUCAGAUAAUUUCCUGGUCCAGAUGUGAUUGAGAGCUGCCUAUGACCUCUGCAGGUCUGGACCCAUUUGGAUGGUCCCUCCCAUGUACCUCGUGGAUCCAGAUGGCUUCCAGUGGAUUCAUGGGGACUUUUCCAACAAUCUGACAGGCAAAUCCAUCAAGGCUCUACAUGAAGCCACUGGGGUAAUUCAUCCAGCAGUUCAGGGUUAGAUAUUAAUAUUCUGAAUAUAAUGCUACAUCACUACUCCAGGCCGUGCUGGUGAUGCUCUUUCUUCAUUUAUUUAUUUAGAAAGUUUAUAUGACCACCCAUCUUACAUGUGAACUCGGGGUAGCUAACAAUAAUAAGAACAAUAUGAUAAACUAUUAUAAAUCAGUCAGUCGAAUUAACAGAAUUAGAGUAAUGCUGAAGUCUUUUCCCAGUAUAUGGAACAGGCUUAAAUUGAAUCCUAGUAAGACAGAGUUACUGUUUAUCCAUUGGUAUAUUCUGGCAGCUCCAGUGGUGCCUCUGGAUGGGAAAACACUAUCUGGAAAGAAGCAAUACCAUGAUUUGGGGGUUUUCCUAGACUUGCAACUUCUGCUAGAGCAAGUGGAAGCCACAGCAAGGGUGAGCCUUUGCUCAGUUUUGGCUGGUGUGCCAGUUGCAGCUCUACCAGGAGUGAGAAGAUCUUGCUGUGGUGACUCAUGCCAUCAUCGCCAUUUCCUUGGAUUACUGCAAUGCAUUCUACAUGGGGCUGCUUUUAAGGACCACUUGGAGGCUUCAGUUGGUCUAAAAUGCAGCUGGGUGGGUUGCCGGUGGGUGCACAUUGCAUCUGUGCUACAAGUCCUGCAUUGCCUUCCUUUGGGCUUCUGGGUGCAAUUUAAAGUGCUGGUUUUAAUCUUUAAAGCCUUUUAUGGCUUGGCAUGAAGUUGCCUUCAAGACUGCAUUUGCCCAGUAGAAUUGGCUUGACCAAUUGAAACUGCCAGGAAAAGUUGGUGGUUCCCUAUUUUGGGAGCCGUGGGGAUGGGGGCCAUGACUCUGAGGCAUUGCUUUUCAGCAGCAGCACUGAACUCUGGAAUAAUCUUCUGCUAGAGUUUAGGUUAGCACCAACUCUCACUGCCUUCUGGAAGGAGCUGAAAGCAGAUGUCCUAUUACAGAGGAAAUUUUAGGAUUUUUAUUUUUGGGGGCAAGAGGGUUGCAUGUUUUUAGAACUUUUAUCAUUGUUUUAAUAUUGACCAUGGAUAUUUUAAAGUUGUAAAACCACCAAGAUUCCUGCAAGAUUGCAGCAGGGUAAAAGUGUAAUAUGUAAAAGUAAAAAAUAAAUGCAUUUUGAAAAAAGUGCUUCAGAACAUUUUGAAGCAAGCACAACCUACCUGAUAAUGGCAGAGGUAUACAUAAUUCUGAAUUAUUGGAACUGUCAGAGUGAAGGAUCCAGUUUGCAAUUUCCAGCUUUGCAGAGUAGAGGUAGGGAUAGUUUAGAUGAGACUUCUCUGCAAUCCUAACUCAGUUAUACACACAGUGGUUGAAAGGUCAGUGCUUCAUCAUUCCAAUUAUGUUAUUGCAGCUGA